rnacentral:lncRNA from 1 species
UCAUUCUUUAUUUAUUUGAAGAAAUUAAAACAAGCACUUAUUCAACAAGCAUGUGUUAAAUUGAUAAGAAGUGAUAACAAAGAUUUAUAUUGUAAGAAAAGAUUUAUAUUUGGAAUAAAUGCUGUUCUUUUUAACUUUUUAUUCAUCAAAGAAUCCUGAAAAAAGUAUCGCCAUUUACCAAAAAAAAAAUUUGGCAGCACAACUGUUGCCAACAUUGAUAAUUCUAAUAAGAAAUCAGUAUAUUAGAAUGAUUUCUUAAUGAUUGUGUGACACUUUAUACUGGAGUAAUGGCUGAUGGAAAAUCAGCUUUGUAUCACAGAAAUAAAUUCUAUUUUAAAGGAUAUUAAAAUAGAAACCAUUAUUCUGUGAAGAUCCCGCUACCCACAAUGCAUUGGCAAAGAUCUACAUAGAUAGCAACAACAGUCCUGAGCACUUCCUCCGAGAAAAACCUGCACUACGACAGCGUGACCGUGGGCCCGAUACUGCGAGAAGAGAGACCCGCACCUCGCCUUUGUGGCCUAUGACAGAGGACAGUGUGACCUGGAGCUCAUACAGGUGUGCAGUGAAAACUCUCUGUUUAAAAGCCAGUCGCUGUAUCUGGUGCGACGAAAAGAUCCUGAUCUUUGGGCUGGAGUUCUGCAGGAGACGAACCCCUACAGACGGCCGCUGAUAGAUCAGGCAUGAGUCUGACCUGAAAUAUCUACAAAAGUGUGUGAUUAUUGAUUAUUAUUAUAGUGAUUAUUGUGUGAUUAUAGUGAUUAUUGAUUAUUGAGCCGUAGAUGCAGGAUCCAGAGGAAGUGUCUGUGACGGUGAAGUUACAAAAAUUAUAUUUCAAAUAAAUGCUGUUCUUUUGAAUCAUCUUUUAAAAUGCCCUAAAACUUCCCUAAACUGUCCUGAAACUCACAUAAUAUAAUGUAAAGCAAUCUGACGUUUGUUUUCACCUGUGGACUGGAGUUUUAUAGUGCUUUUAGAUAUCCAUGUGUCAUUAUAGUGAUGCUGAUUUAUUAAAUGUGUAAUUUUGUAUGUCCAUGUAUAAUGUUAGUCAAGUUUUCUUACACUUAAUACAGUCAAAAUAUUGAUUUUAUGACUAGAGAUGAUAUUUUGAGUUGUGAAUGAAACCGUUUGU